CUAUGCCCAAGACACAGCCUCUAUUCCAGCUCACAGAGAUGGGGUCAGCUUUUCUCCUGCUGUGGGUACUGCUGCUCUGGGUUCCAGGUUCUACUGGUGACAUUGUGCUGACUCAGACUCCACCUUCACUGACUGUGUCUCUAGGCCAAAGUGCCACCAUGUCCUGCAGGUCCAGCCAGAGUGUCACUAUAGGUAGAAUUCAUCUUAUGCACUGGUAUCAACAGAAACCAGGACAGCCUCCCAAACUCCUCAUCUAUAGAGCAUCCAACCUAGAAUCUGGGGUCCCUGCCAGGUUCAGUGGCAGUGGGUCUGGGACAGACUUCACCCUCACCAUCAAUCCUGUGGAAGCUGAUGAUGCUGCAACCUAUUACUGUCAGCAUGGUAAGGAGCUUCCUCCCACAGUGCUCCAGAACUGA